AUCAUGAUACUUCCGUCCAGCCACAGACAUCUCAAUGGGGGCGGCAGCCGGAGAUCCCGGCUGGGGUGAGAUUCCCAUGA
rfam:Clostridiales bacterium oral taxon 876 str. F0540 genomic scaffold Scaffold90, whole genome shotgun sequence.